AAUAAGACUCUCGGCAACGGAUAUCUUGGCUCUCGCAUCGAUGAAGAACGUAGCAAAAUGCGAUACCUGGUGUGAAUUGCAGAAUCCCGUGAACCAUCGAGUUUUUGAACGCAAGUUGCGCCUGAGGCCUUUUGGUCGAGGGCACGUCUGCCUGGGCGUCACGC
rnacentral:rRNA from 1 species